GACGAACGCUGGCGGCGUGCUUAACACAUGCAAGUCGAACGAAGUGGCGAACGGGUGAGUAACACGUGGGUAACCUGCCCUCCUUUUUGGGAUAAGCCUUGGAAACGGGGUCUAAUACCGAAUAAAGGGGGCUGGGCUCGCGGCCUAUCAGCUUGUGGGUGGGGUGAUGGCCUACCAAGGCGGUGACGGGUAGCCGGGCGGAGAGGGUGAACGGGAACAUAGGGACUGAGAUGACUCCCAGACGAGUAAGCGGUGGGGCAGUGGGGGAUAUUGGAGAAUGGCUGAUGGACUGAUGCAGCGUGGCCGCGUGGGGGAUGAGGGUUUUCAGGUUGUAAACCUGUUUCGGUAGCGAGCGGGUAGGUGGAGAAGAAGCGCCGGCUAACUACGUGCCAGCAGCCGCGGUAAUUC
rnacentral:rRNA from 1 species